AUAGAAUGAUGACAAAUUAAUUAUCCUGACAUUCUAUGGAGGGAAAUACUGAUUUAAUGAGUCUGACUG